CAAUAGCACCACCUGACCCCAUGCCGAACUCAGAAGUGAAAUGUUGUCAUGCCGAUGGUAGUGUGGGGAUUCCCCAUGUGAGAGUAGGUC
rnacentral:rRNA from 1 species